UUUCUAUAUCGUCCAUGAUAUCACCUUGAUCCCAUGUAGAUUAUUUCAUUAAUUUUCCUAUGCCUUUCACUUUAGAAACUGACCUAACGUUAUAUUGGAAAGUUUAUGAUAACGAAACAGAAACGCGUUAUGACGUUAAUACCUCGGCUUUGUUACGAUAGUUAGAAAUAACGAAAAUCUUAACUAUCUAUCAUUGAAGAGAUUUCAAAGACUGUGAUCCGCUGCAAUUGCCAACUAUUAUAAUCAGGUCGAUACUUCUAUUUUUAUAAUUAUCGAUGAGAUAGUUCAGCUACAUGUAAUUCUUACGGAUAACAAAAAGAGAAGAAAGGGAAAAAAAAAGACAAGGGCAGAAAAUUAUUUACGCUCGUUUUCUCGCUAAAAGACGGUCUGGCCUAGAAAGUAUCGCGGUUUUUAGACCUGGUCGAAUGGGACAAACAGAUCGUCGCGCCCAAUUGUGCCAGCAUGUCGCCGGGAAUGUAACUCUCUCUCCUUUCACGCCAUUUCAUUGAUUGCGAAUCUCGUUACUUUUUUUCGGGUUGCUAUCAUAUUUGAUUUAAAUUCCACACUAUGAUAUGCGAUAAGCGACAGCAUUCCGUGGAUUUUAUCGUCGAUUGAGCAGGUAAUUACACUUGAAGUGACUCAAAGAGGCUAUGAAAGCAAGUGCUCUCCAA
rnacentral:misc_RNA from 1 species